GCGGAGGAAAAGAAACCAACAGGGAUUGCCUCAGUAGCGGCGAGUGAAGCGGCAAGAGCUCAGAUUUGAAAUCGUGCUUUGCGGCACGAGUUGUAGAUUGCAGGUUGGAGUCUGUGUGGAAGGCGGUGUCCAAGUCCCUUGGAACAGGGCGCCCAGGAGGGUGAGAGCCCCGUGGGAUGCCGGCGGAAGCAGUGAGGCCCUUCUGACGAGUCGAGUUGUUUGGGAAUGCAGCUCCAAGCGGGUGGUAAAUUCCAUCUAAGGCUAAAUACUGGCGAGAGACCGAUAGCGAACAAGUACUGUGAAGGAAAGAUGAAAAGCACUUUGAAAAGAGAGUGAAACAGCACGUGAAAUUGUUGAAAGGGAAGGGUAUUGCGCCCGACAUGGGGAUUGCGCACCGCUGCCUCUCGUGGGCGGCGCUCUGGGCUUUCCCUGGGCCAGCAUCGGUUCUUGCUGCAGGAGAAGGGGUUCUGGAACGUGGCUCUUCGGAGUGUUAUAGCCAGGGCCAGAUGCUGCGUGCGGGGACCGAGGACUGCGGCCGUGUAGGUCACGGAUGCUGGCAGAACGGCGCAACACCGCCCGUCUUGAAAACACGGACCCA
rnacentral:rRNA from 1 species